GGCCUGCAGGAAGCCCUUUGAGGAUGAAACCUUGAGAGAUGGCCAGGUUUAAGAAUAACCUGGAGAAGAAGAGACAUGGACAGGUUGAUUAGAGGGGACAAUUUACAAAGAAGUGUGAAGGGAAGAGGAAGACCACAAAGGAAUAAUGCAAGUGUCCAGAGCUGGAAGCAGUAGAAGCUGUUAUCACCCCUACGCCCAAAGGACAAGAGGACAGAGAGGUUGCCGGAACUCUGAAGGUGCCUGAUAAAAUUCAUCAGUGAAGCCAUCUGAGCCUGGAGUCUUCUCUGAGGCAAGAUUUUAAAUUACUAAUUCAAUUUCAUUAGUAGGUAUAAGAUUAUUUGGGUUUUCUAUUUCUUGGUAUGUCAGUUUGACAAAUUGUGUCUUUCAAGGAAGUUGUCUAUUUCAUCUAAGUUGUCAGAGUUAUAGACAUAACUUGUUUAUGGUAUCUCCUUAUUAUCCUUUAAUGUCUGUAGGCUCUAUAGUUGUGCUCCCUCUUUUAUUCCUAAUGUUGUUAAUUUGUACUUUCUCUUUUUUUCAUUGAUCUUUUCAAAGAACCAACUUUUGGUUUCUUUAAUAUUCUGUUUUUGUCUUUUUGUUUCAUUGAUUUUUUGUUUUUAUUUACUUAUUUGGUUGUGUUGGGUCUUAGUUGUGGCAUGCAAGAUCUUUUUUUAGUUGUGGCAUGUGGGAUCUAGUUCCCUGACCAGGGACUGAACCCGGGACCGCUGCAUUGGGAGUGCGGAGUCUUAGCCACUGGACCAUCAGGGAGGUCCCUGUUUCACUGAUUUCUGCUCUUAUCUUUCUUCUUUCUUUCUUACUGCUCGCUGUGAGUUUAAUUUGCUCUUAUUUUUCUAAUCCUUUUUCCCCAGCUUUAUUGAGAUAAUUGACAUAUUGUGUAAAUUUAAGGUGUACACUAUUUUAAAAUUUUUGUAAGGUCAAAACUUUAAUCAUUGAUUUUAGACCUUUUUUUUCACACUAAGUACCACUUAGCAAACAAAUUUUGAUAUGUUGAGUUUUCAUUAUCAUUCAGUUCAAAAUAUUUUCUUUCCCUUGUGAUUUCUUCAAUUCAUGGGUUAUUCAGACAUGUGCUGUUUAAUUUCAGAAUAUUUGGUGCUUUUCUAUUUAUCUUAUUGUUAUUAUUUCUCAUUAAAGUCCAUUGUGAUCACAGAAUACACUCUGUAAGAUUUCAGUCUUUUGAUAUUUAUUGAGACUUCUUUCAUGGCCCAGGAUAUGAUCUGUCUUGGUGAACAUUCCUUAUGUACUUGAAAAGAAUGUAUAGUUUGAAGCUGUUGGGUGCAUUAUUCUAUAAAUGUCAGCUAAGUUAUAGUGCUGAUAAUGUUUUUCAAAUCUUCUAUAGACUUACUGAUUUUUUUGGUUGUUUGUUCUAUUCAUAACUAGAAAAGUACUUAAAAAUCUAUAACUAUGUUUAUGGAUUUGUCUAUUUCUCUCUUCAGUUCUAUCAGUUUUUGCUCCAUGUAUUUUGAAGUUCUACAUAUAUAAUUAUUAUGUACCACAGCAAUGCAUAAUAUCAUUAUGAAAUGUCCCUCUCUGCCUCUUAUAAAACUUUUCUUGAAUUCUGUUAUUUUAUUAAUAUAGCCACACUAGCUGUCUUAUGUUUAUGGUUUGCCAGAUAUACAUUUUUUGAUACUUUUAUUCUAGUUAUGUUUCUGUAUUUAAAGUGUCUCUCUUACAGACAGCAAAUAAUUGGGUCUUGCUUUUUAAAUUCAGUCUGACAGUCUAACAAUCUCUGCUUUUUCCCCCCUUUAUAAAUUCAUUUAUUUAUUUAUUUUUGGCUGUGUUGGGUCUUUGUUGCUGUCAGCAGGCUUUCUCUAGUUGUGGCGAGCGGGGGCUACUCUUUGUUGCGGUGCGUGGGCUUCUCAUUGCGGUGGCUUCUCUUGUUGUGGAGCAUGGGCUCUAGGCGCGCAGGCUUCAGUAGAUGUGGCACGCGAGCUCAGUAGUUGUAGCUUGCGGGCUCUAGAGCUCAGGCUCAUUAGCUGUCAUGCAUGGGCUUAGUUGCUCCGCAGCAUGUGGGA